rnacentral:rRNA from 1 species
CAGUAGCCGCGGUAAUACAGAGGGUGCGAGCGUUAAUCGGAUUUACUGGGCGUAAAGCGUGCGUAGGCGGUUAUAUAAGACAGAUGUGAAAUCCCCGGGCUCAACCUGGGAACUGCAUUUGUGACUGUAUAGCUAGAGUACGGCAGAGGGGGAUGGAAUUCCGCGUGUAGCAGUGAAAUGCGUAGAUAUGCGGAGGAACACCGAUGGCGAAGGCAAUCCCCUGGGCCUGUACUGACGCUCAUGCACGAAAGCGUGGGGAGCAAACAGGAUUAGAUACCCCUGUAGUCCCUGUCUCUUAUAC